rnacentral:rRNA from 1 species
AUGGAUCUGAAGCUAGAUGACCUCGACUGGGAGGAAGUACGGUCAAUCAACUGCUAUGCCCUGUUCAUGGGGUACCUCUCGAUGGCCAUAAGGGGGAUGGGAUACCUUGUGCUUACAUGGUCCACCGUCGUUCUCCUGGGUGGCUUCGUCUCUGUGCUGGAGAACAAAGACUUUUGGUGUCUCACAAUUAUCACCCUCGUCCAAACAGCCGGGGUAUUUGAUGUCUCUCUGAAAGAGAAAAUGAGAUAUAUUGGGACAUCACGCUACGGCCUCCAGAGUGCUAUAUAUGCCAUGCUGAUCUGGAAAAACACAAACGGUGAUGGAAAAAAUGCUAAUGGCGAUGGACCCUCCGUGCCACGCCUAGUGGUAGUACUGAUUGUAUGGUUGGUUCACCUGCUGGUGGUCGCUGUUAUAUUGUUGCCUCUAUCGGUUCUCUACCUUUGUGGGCUGCUCUUCACCACUGGGAUUUCGGUGUGGCGUCUAAUACAACGUGAUUAUGGCCGCAAGGCGGAGGAUGGAUAUGCGAACCUGCAGCCGGCCCUGAAUGUCUUGUACUCGCUGGCUCUGUUCCAGGGUUCGCUCUUUUGUUACAGGUUGUUCUCGUCUUUUGCGCGCGAAGGGCUAGCGAGCGAGGUGGCGGAGAAGUACAAGAUGAACGGCCGUGCGCACAAAUCGGUGAAGAAGUACUUGCGGGAGACCAUGAUCGGGUGCGAGAAGGAUCCAUCAUUCGUCAAGGGAAGGAACCUAGUCACGUAUGCCGUGGGAAUGAUGAAAUCUGAAUCGUCUAAAAGCUUCCUUUCUGGGGCAAGGAUUUUGGACGCCCUCUUGGAGCACCCACUGCCACUGGAGGAGCAGCACGCGCUGAUAGCAGAGCUCGUCGGCUCCGCGUCCUCCACCCAUGUACUCGAGAAACUGCUCCAGGCACUGGAUUCCAGAAGCCCACACGACGAGAAGAUGAGGGGGGUCGCCGCAAACAUAGUGGCGCACCUCGCCGGCAAGAUCCGUCUGAAGCGAUUCCCUCGUGGGAUCCAGUGCAUAGGCUCGCUGCUUGAGAUAUCUCAGGGGCAAGCUGAGGAUGGCGACGAGUGUGCGCCGUCUGCUGACUACGACUACAAGAAGCUCAUGGAGAAAGGCCUGGUUAUCCUCGACGGGCUCGCCGCCGAUGAGCACAACUGCAGAGUCCUCGGCAACGCCGAGGGCCUGCUCGCCAAGGUCGUGGCGCCUGUAAGCUCCGACCUGCUCCACCUCAUCGACCAUGAUGCCUGGUCCAUUGUCGUGGCCGCGUCACUGCAGGUCAUGUGCCGCCUCGUGGCUGCUCCCGGAGAGACCGGUGCCAAGCUACGUAGCCAAAUCUCUAGCAACAAGGAAGCGAUCAAUAGCAUGGAGGGGAUUCUCAAAUGCGACGAAUGUGAUGAAAAGCUCCAGGUCCUGACCAUCAAGAUCCUCACGCAGCUGCCCAUGGACGUGGAUGUAUGUCCGACUGCUGUAAACACAGAAAGCAGAGGAAAUUUUGUCAAGAUACUCCCAGACAUCUUCACUUGUGACAGUAAGGACAGCUCCAUCAGAAAAUUGGCAGGCGAAGCCCUGGUCAUGCUAAGUCUAAACCAAAGCAACGCUGCCAUCAUCCUAAAGGCAAAUGACAAUGUUGUCCAAGAUCUCACCAAGAUCCUUUUAGAUGCUGAGGCCGACAGCACACAUCGAAUCAAUGCAGCUGAGACCCUGGAGCAUCUGUAUGUUCACUACAAAGAAAAUGACGACCAUCACAAGAAAAAACUCAAGGAGGCCAUGGAGGGCAUGAUGCGAAAGGUUCUCCCGAAAAUACUUUCUUUUGGGUCGAAAAAUAAUACAACACCAACAGAAAAAGGAACAGAAAAGGAUGUUGGUCCUUUGCUAGGCACGGGCGACGUAGAAGCCCAAGACGGUGAUGCUCCACAAGAUGAUGGCCGUGAUAACAACACUUCAGCGUGUCCACACAACGAUGACAAGCAUGUGGGAAGGAAAUUGCAUGCAGCUUUGCUAUCUCUUGCUACGGCAAUAUUCGAUAAAUUGACCAGCCAAAACCAUGAUUUGGCUCAACUGGUCAAUACAAUUUCUCCUGGAGAUUAUCCCACUAGCUUCGCCAUAAAGCUCAAUGUAAUGGUGAAAGCAAACAGUGACCCCACGGUAAGCUGUCUGAGGAUAAUGAAGAAUACAAGCAGGAUGGUCGUGUUAAUGAUGAAACACAAUGGCAACUACCUGAAACAACACUUGGUGAGCUUCCAUGACUUGAUAGACUCUCUUUCCACUGCUUGCAAAAAGAUGGCGUGCCUCGAAGGCUCUAUGAUUUUCUAUAGCUCGAAUCGUGGCGCGAUGAAGCCUGGCAGAACUCUUGCUUCUCUAGUGAAAGAAGCAGAGGAGCUUCUAGGCCAAAAGGAGCCAAAACGGCUGUGA